UUAUUUGUCGACAGGUUGUAUGAUUCCUCUUGACACUUUCUUGCUUUUAUACAUGCUCUGCAUUUUGAUCUGUUGCAGCUCGAGUUCAGGGUGGAUAAAUCGUACAAGCUGACUGUGCCUACAACUGGGAACCCGAUAUAUGCCCGAAUUAAGGAAAGAGUACCCUGUUGAACCAACUCUUUGGGGCUAAUUUCAGGGAGAUGGAUGUGUUGAGGGGAAGACUAUAUACAAGAGGUUCAGCAAAGGAGGACUCAAGUUUGCAACCACCACAAAAAUAAGUCUAUGGAACAAUAGUGUGUGGUUGUUCUGUGUAAUUUUUCUCUCAUCGAGGUAUGCCUCCGUGUCACUGGGCCAGGGCUCGACUUGCCUGACAUAUUUUUUUUGUUUGCUGCACAAUGUUGUAAGAUUGGAGUGUGUUGAGUAGCCAAUCCUGAUUCGAGGAAAAAAAAGAUUAUGCAGUCUAUUGCACAUGUUCGGUUUGGAGGGGGGUUGUAGAU